GAGGUUAUCAACAAAUUAUAAGUUUACGGGUACCAUGAGGAUUUUUCAUGCAUUUAAACGACAGAAGUACAAGCGAACAGAUGACACAUUAAAGUGGCUGCAGAAACUUGAAAAGUUAGAUAGAGCAGGGACAGUCAAAACUGUGGGAUAAUACUUCUAUGGUGUCCAACAUGUCUAGUCAAGUUGACAGAAGUGAAAGAUGGUCUGAUGGUACAAUGAUGUACAAAUGAUACUCUUAAAAAGUGAAAGAUGGUCUGAUUGUACAAUGAUGUACAAAUGAUACUCUUUAACAAGUUUAA
rnacentral:lncRNA from 1 species